ACGCACGCUGGCGGCGUGCUUCACACAUGCAAGUCGCACGGAAAGGCCCUGCUUUUGUGGGGUGCUCGAGUGGCGAACGGGUGAGUAACACGUGAGUAACCUGCCCUUGACUUUGGGAUAACUUCAGGAAACUGGGGCUAAUACCGGAUAGGAGCUCCUGCUGCAUGGUGGGGGUUGGAAAGUUUCGGCGGUUGGGGAUGGACUCGCGGCUUAUCAGCUGGUUGGUGGGGUAGUGGCUUACCAAGGCUUUGACGGGUAGCCGGCCUGAGAGGGUGACCGGCCACAUUGGGACUGAGAGACGGCCCAGACUCCUACGGGAGGCAGCAGUGGGGAAUAUUGCACAAUGGGCGGAAGCCUGAUGCAGCAACGCCGCGUGCGGGAUGACGGCCUUCGGGUUGUAAACCGCGUUCGCCUGUGACGAAGCGUGAGUGACGGUAAUGGGUAAAGAAGCACCGGCUAACUACGUG
rnacentral:rRNA from 1 species